UCUGGUUGGCACAUAAACUAACAAAGAGGUUAUGUUUGUAGGUAUCUAUUUUUCAAUGAUUUUUCAUUGUUUAUAAUCAUCGUAUUUUGUCUAUUUUGGAUUCAUUUGGAUUUCGUUUCCUGUUUUUGUGCACUUUAUAAACUUAACCACAAUGCAAAAUGAUUAUUUAAGGAAAUUAUUAUUGGAAACUUCAGAUGUUGCGAGAAAGAUAUUUAUUGAAGCUGAAAAUAAUUGGGGAUUUAGAUCCAUACGCAAUUCAGUCAGAAUUGGAUUUUACAGUUAAGUGCAGUCCAUCAAGUUACUAUUAUAGAUAUUUAUACAUAUUUGGUGGAGUCUCACAGUUGCUACUCUAAGCAGCAGAUGAAAGCAUACAAAAGCCUUCAGGCACAUAAAUAUUUUACAGCUGGAUUUGUUUUGAAUGGAGUAAAAAUUGUUAAUGAUUUCCUGAUUUCCAUAUUAUUGUAGGAAAGGUGAAGCAUUUCCAAAAAGCUAAUGCUAAACGACUAAAUGCUUGGGUGGGGUGAUAGCCAGUUCUGAUGACAUAGCAAAUGCACAUUGUAUGCAUAUGGCCGGUAAUAGUAAAGUAUGCCCAGGGCAAGACAGACGAAGAAGAACCCAAUGCAUGUACAUAUGUUACAGCUACAUGGUUUGGAGAUAGCAACAUAUGCAUUCUCUGAUGAAAAACUAAUGAGUUUUGAAACUGUUCGGUCAGAGUGCUUGUUGCGCUCACUAAACGAACUGAAAUAUGAGAUGGCUUUGGCAUUGUGUUGCAGCGAUAUGAAAAUGGUUAUUCAUUUUUAAUUAUAAUGUACUUCUUCAUCAUGAGUAAUUAUGUAUUGGUCUUUUAAAUGUGUAUUUAUUUUUGUAAUUAGUAUCAACUUGUAAUGAUAAUAUACACUUAUCGUUUAAGGUAUGACUAUGUUUAGACUCUAAAAUAAAUGUUUUAAAAAUCGAA